ACAGCAGCAGCCGCGGGAAAACGGAGGAUCCAAGCGUUAUCCGGAAUCAUUGGGUUUAAAGGGUCCGUAGGCGGUCUUGUAAGUCAGUGGUGAAAGCCCAUCGCUCAACGGUGGAACGGCCAUUGAUACUGCAGGACUUGAAUUAUUGGGAAGUAACUAGAAUAUGUAGUGUAGCGGUGAAAUGCUUAGAGAUUACAUGGAAUACCAAUUGCGAAGGCAGGUUACUACCAAUUGAUUGACGCUGAUGGACGAAAGCGUGGGUAGCGAACAGGAUUAGAUACCCCCGUAGUCCCUGUCUCUUAUAC
rnacentral:rRNA from 1 species